GACGUUCUGUCUCUACGAACGAAGCAGCGUUCCUCCCUUUUGUUUUAUUUUCUAACAAAAUGUCGACGUUAACGUUAGUGUGGCGCGCGCUUCGAUUUUACCGACGUUACCGACCGGCCGAUAAAAAUGAACGAACGAAACGAGUUUUUCAAGGCAUCAUCUUCCGCGGUGAUAACCAUUUCUUCAUGUAGUAGCAAAAGAUCGUGGAGAUGUAGAUAAGAACCAGAAGAGCACACGUGACUCCCAAUGCAAGUACCGACGUCUUUGUCGGGCAUGGUUCUACGAUGGUUACGGUUUUGUCUUUACAAAAAGGAAAAGGAAGAAUGAAAAAUGGUUUCAGUGAACAUUAAUCCGACGUACAAAUAGAUUGUAAAUCUUUCUUAUGGCUUUUACCUGCUUCAUUGAAGUCUAUGCUGGCAUCGCUUUUAAGGAAGUCCGAUUGUUUUUCAUCACCGAAAUCCAAGACUAAGAUCUCCUGAGAAAGAGUCAUAUCCUCAGCUUUCUCUUCGGUAGUAUUCAUGACAUUCCUUCGACGUCUUUUGCCCCACGAUUCAACGGAUUCACGUCCCCACUCGCAAACAGCCUGUCAACGAGCAACACGAAACGCUGUUAAACUUUUUCCCCCUUUCGAGUUUCGGCACGCAAGUUUUUAUUACCGGUUCGCAUGGUCCGAGACAGUACUUGACGUUACAUUGGAAGAUGACACCAUAAGAUUCCGUGAACCUGAAGGCUUCGUAGACCGAUUGAAGGGCGUUACCGUCUGGCGUGAAGCUCGGGAAUAUGGAGGGAUCCACUGGACAUCUAAAAUUACAUCGUUCCGUGAGAUCCCUUUUAGAUAGAUCAGUUUCGAUCGAGCAAAAAAUACUAACCCUUCGUCGUCGAUUAUUUGGAAGGUGCUCUUAGAGUCCUUGGCCAUAGCAACGCAGCUGCGAGCAAAGAUUCCGUAAGGUAUUUCGAUCCUAAACGUCAAUUUGUCUCCGAUUCUUACGGUUUCCACUUCUCUUGAUCUGCUGUCGAGAAUACGUAUCCUUGGUGGUGGUGCCUCGGGCGCACUAGUGAUGCUAAUCAUUUCCGGAUCUCUGAUUGGCAUCAUCCCGAAAGUGAUGUUCUUCGAUGACAUAUCAUGCCAGUCUGAAAACCGUCACGCUGCCAUGAUGAACAGAGAGUUUGAGGAAAAUUUUGGGACACGAAAUUAAAUUUCCGUGAGAUUUA